CCUACGGGAGGCAGCAGUGAGGAAUAUUUGUCAAUGGCCGGAAGGCUGAACCAGCCAUGCCGCGUGAAGGUCAGUGCCCUAUGGGCGUUAAACUUCUUUUGUGCGGGAGCAAUAAUGGUCACGUGUGGCCAGACGAGAGUACCGUACGAAUAAGCAUCGGCUAACUCCGUGACAGCAGCCGCGGUAAUACGGGGGAUGCAAGCGUUAUCCGGAUUUAUUGGGUUUAAAGGGUGCGUAGGCUGUGAGGUAAGUCAGCGGUGAAAUGCCCCCGCUCAACGGGGUGAAGUGCCAUUGAUACUGCCUGGCUGGAAUGCGGAUGCCGUGGGAGGAAUGUGUGGUGUAGCGGUGAAAUGCAUAGAUAUCACACAGAACACCGAUUGCGAAGGCAUCUCACGAAUCCGCGAUUGACGCUGAUGCACGAAAGCGUGGGUAUCAAACAGGAUUAGAUACCCCUGUAGUC
rnacentral:rRNA from 1 species